AUGGGAAAGAUUGACUCACGAGAGAUUGGAGAGGUAGAUUCACACAGUGAUAGUGCAAGCAGCUUGCUUCUAAUUAAAUAUGCGACUGAGUCUCAAUGCAUUUGCUUUCAGCCGCAGAGAGAAGAAGCUGCCCAAGAAUGGAAAGGAAGAAAUAUAUCACAUCAUCUGUCUGUCCACAGGCUUUCCUUGGGGCUUAUGAAGAUUUUGACAUUAUUGAAAUUACUGGAAUUACUUUGAGGAACUUUGCCUGUUGAGUGUCUUAUAUGCAUAUAAGAACUUUUCCCAUUUGCAGGUGAAAUUUGUAUUUGUUUACGAAAAUAAUUGAUUGGAUUGAAACAACAUCGGAAUUCAGUUGGCUUUUAGUUUGUAUAUUUACUGUACUUAAUGUGCUAUGGGUUGUGAUUUUGAAUAGAAUCGUAGACAUCCUGUGCAUUUUGGAAGCUUGCCACUGGGGAAGGCUUAAUAUUUGUAAAUUAAUAGUUUGCACUCCUCAAAAACUGGUUAGGGCAAUAAUUGAAUGUUAGCAAUAAAGCUUAAAAUUUUCCAUCUUUUGAGGUUUCUCCCUCUUUUACUAAGUUACUUUCUCAAGCAGCAUUCUCUAUUGAAGGGAAGAAAACUUUCAGUUGGGUCUUAAUAUGCUAUUCACCUUUCCCUUUAUUAAUAUAAAGAUUAUGUUUAGUACUGUGUUUAACAAGAAAUGUACUUAAAUAAGUAUUUAAUCUUAGCUUUCUUAAGGAAAUAGGCAAAUAUCUUAGUUGCUAAUAUUAAAUAUAUUAAAGCUUACACAUAAAGCACUAAAGCAUGUCAGAAUUGAGAAUUUUUUAAUGAAAGAAAAAUAUUUUGAUGAUUAAAAAAAUAAAAUGUUCUGGGCUGAUUUAUAGAGAAAUAUUCCACCAAAGGUAUCAGUCUUCAUGUCAACUUGCCCUUCCUAACAGUUCUAAAAUUAUCAUUGAGUUUUAAAAAUGUUUAAAUUGGAUUUUCAUGUCUAGGACUAAGUGUAUAUUAUAGAUAAAAAUGUAGAAUAUAUAUAUAUAUUGUAUUCAUGUGAAAUAUAAUCUCUAAUACUACAUGCAUUUAAAUGUGUUACAUUGCUAAUGGAAAUAAAAAUAUGCUGAUACUUUUCUGGGAGGGAUGUUGUUUCACUGAUGAGAUAUUUUUCCUGCGAGAGGGACAACAUAGUGAUUAAAUACUAUUGCUCUGGCAAGAAAAAAUAACAGGAAACCAACUAAACCAAAAAAUCAAGUAAAGAACAAAACAAAAAACAAUUAAAAUUACAUUAAUACAACAAUAAUCUUCUUCAAAUUCCACAGCUUAUUACUGGAAUUUUCCAUACUCAGAUUUAUUUUUGUUUGCAAUAUCCAAUAUACGGUUGUCUUGGAUUUAGAUUUAUAUUUUAAAGUAGUUAGCAUGCAGUUGACCAAGCCUUUGUUCAUUUGAGGGAGCAUGUAUGAAGGGUUGGAACUAAAGGAUAAAUUAACUCUGUUGAAUUAUUUCUGAAGUUGUUUGCUUCCAAUGAAAAACAAGAAACAUGAUUUGGUAAUACAUAUUUAAACCGGCUCUUGCUACACAUUUUUUCAUGUUGCUCUUCCACAGCUUUUCAUUUAGCUACACUAAAACAAAAGAUGAUAACCUUACUUUUGAAUACAUUAUUUUUAGUAUAUCUGAAAUCAGAUAUUUGAUUAAAUUAUUAUUCAACAAUAGGCUUGGAUUGACUUUGGAAUUUUUUUUUUUUUUUGAGGAAAACCACUGAUCUGCAGAAUCUAUGUUUGAAAUGACAAUUUACAUAUGUAUUAUUAUUCAAAAGGCCCAGAAACUUUUGCUUACCAGACAGAGUUAUAACAGCGAGUUCAAAUUACUGAUUCUGGGGAAUGUUUUGAUGCUGUUUUCUAAUAACAGAAUAAAAUACCACUACAUCAUCACAGAAACAAACAAACGUGUUUCUCUCAUUUCAUUAUCAAUGCUUGGAGCUAGCUAAUACUUUUGAUUCUAUGAUCAUUCUUCUAAAGAAAACACUUAUUAUAACACCACUUGGUUCCUUAUA
ensembl:lncRNA